UCCCAUAAAAUAUAUAGAUGUAUGAUAAUAGAGACUGAGCUAACAAAUGAGAAUCCUAGUCAUUGGCCAAGCAGCUUUGUAACUAAUACAAGUCUCUCUGUGUAUUCAUUUGGGCCUAACUCGGGCUGGUGGCUGGCGUUAAGCUCGCACGUGGCGAUGGGGCUCAGGCGGCUUUUGGCAAAAAGAUUUAUCGUAACAAGUAAGACUCUCAAAAAGUCUAGCAUGAUUUAUUACUUUGUAUGAUGAAUGGGACCUUGUUUGGAAAUAGAUUUUGUAGGCAUAAGAUAGGUUCUCUGGAUGAGUUCAUUAUGGAUCUAGGUUUAUCCCUAACACUAAGUAUUUAAUGGAUACCAAAAAAAGAUUGACACACAGGGAGAAGGCCAUGUGAACACAAUGACAGAAAUCAAAGAGAAGUGUCUCCACGUCAAGAAGAUGCCAGAGAUGGAUAACAGCCCAUGAAAAGCUGAGAGAAUACACAAAGCAGAUCUCCCUCAGCGCCUCCAGCAUCUACUUACCUCUCGAUUUGGACUUCUGUUCUCCAGAAUUGCAAGAGUAUGAUUCCUGUGGUACUUCAUUAUGAAAGGCUUGGUAAACCAAACACUCCAUUAUAACACCAAGAAGUCUAAACUCCAGAAAGGAGAUCCAGAACAUAAUGUAAUUUGACAAAAUUUCAACUUCGUAGUUCUCUCAGAUGAAAUUAUUGAAUAUCUCCUAUGGAAAUUAUUCUGUGGCAUGUGUUGAAAACAUGAUCAGGAAGUCUACACAUCAAAUGAAAGAUGCUAUGAGAAGUACAUACAAUAUUUUCACUUAUACAUAACUAUAUAUAGAAAUAUUAAUUAUAUAGUUAAUUAUAUAAAUAUUCAUUUUCCUUUAUGAAAUAUGUAUGUCCAACGUGGAUGGCAAUCAGGCUACUCUCCUUUUGUUCUCAGGCUGAGGACAUUUGGGACUAUUUAGGACUACGGAGCAAGCUUUUUUUUUUCACUGAGGAUAGAAAUGAAACCCAGAAUGGAACAUGAAAAGGCCAGCAUAGGGGAUCAGGAAGGUGACUAGAACUCAGGGCUCCUGAAGAGAUAUUCGGUGCUCAUUUGGCUCAUUACUGCCAAUGGGGUUGCAUGUUUAAUCCUUUUUCCACUCCUGGUGGAAAAUGUCACCAUGAUAUUACCAAAGAAAAUUUUACUUGCAACAUAUUUUUAAAUCAUAAAAUAUUAUCCCUUAAUAUCAUUCUUUUAUAUCUAAGUGGAUUUUAAAAAUAUGAGACAUAAUAUAUAUCAAUAAAAUUCUAAAACACAGAUUCUAAAACAAUGGUUUGUGGUCUUGUAAAAUAUUGUUUAUUAGCAAUGCAAUAUGCCCAUAAUAAAUAGAUCGAGUAAGGAGUUAGAUCUUUGAGCAAUGUUUUGAUAAAGAAUAAAUCACAUAAAAAUGGAAUACAGUCCAGUGUGUGAAGAGUUAAGUAGAUUUAGAGAGGAAAAUACCCAAGGUUGGAGGAAUAAUAAUAGCAUUGUCACAGUAAGGAGAUGAUUGCCAUUCUGUCUUCAGUAGACUAAAUUGCGAUAUAAAUUUAAAGACUUAAGAUUUUGGAAAAUAUUCAUUUCCAAAAACUGCACCCUUUUGAGAAGUGAGCCUCAGAAUACUUUUAUAUUUAAUUCAAAAUUCACACUGAGAAAUCUUGUUUUCUACUGUAGUUUUGUCAUGGUAUUAUUUGGGAAAUCAAAUGGACUGGUGACAUUUUAAUAUGAGGACAGAGCAUUAAGUAUCAUGAAAGACAUACUUACCACUUCCAGCAAAUCUGUAGAGAUGACUUAAUAAUAUAAAUUCUGCCUCUGUUUUGUGUUGGAUAAGCAGGCAAGUGAAACUUCUACUAAUACAUACCCACCAUACACGCUUGUAGUGCAGGAAGCAUACGUGAUUGACAAUGCCAGGGACUGACACUCUGGACCUUCUGAAGCAUGUGCAUGCAGACCUCUUAUUCUCUUACUAUAUUUGCGGGACUCCUGAGUGUGCCAGUGAGUGGAACUCUGACUCUUCGGCCUGCUCUUGGGAAUCUUAUCCUCCUGCUGGGUUGCUGUGUCCAACUUUGAUAUGAAACUUUUUACUCCAUCUUUUUGUAUUUCAUUUUGUCAUGUUUUGUUCUUAUCUCUUAGAAGCCUGUUCUUUUCUAGUGAGAGGCAGAAAGGGGACAGAAAGAUCCAGACUGAGGGGAAAUGGGAAGGAACUUGGUGGUGUAGAGGGAGAGGAAACUAUAAUCAGAAUAUAUUGUAUAAGAAAAUAAUCUAUUUUUCAAUAAUAAAAAAGAGGUGCUUUGUUCAUAGUCUGCAUUUA